CCUANGGGUGGCAGCAGUGGGGAAUUUUGGACAAUGGGGGCAACCCUGAUCCAGCCAUUCCGCGUGAGUGAAGAAGGCCUUCGGGUUGUAAAGCUCUUUCAGCAGGAACGAAACGGUGGUCCUUAAUACGGGCUACUAAUGACGGUACCUGAAGAAGAAGCACCGGCUAACUACGUGCCAGCAGCCGCGGUAAUACGUAGGGUGCGAGCGUUAAUCGGAAUUACUGGGCGUAAAGCGUGCGCAGGCGGUUUUGCAAGUCAGAUGUGAAAGCCCCGGGCUCAACCUGGGAAUGGCGUUUGAAACUGCAAGGCUAGAGUGUGUCAGAGGGGGGUAGAAUUCCACGUGUAGCAGUGAAAUGCGUAGAGAUGUGGAGGAAUACCGAUGGCGAAGGCAGCCCCCUGGGAUAACACUGACGCUCAUGCACGAAAGCGUGGGGAGCAAACAGGAUUAGAUACCCUANUANUC
rnacentral:rRNA from 1 species